rnacentral:rRNA from 1 species
GACGAACGCUGGCGGCGUGCUUAACACAUGCAAGUCAAGGGGGCCCAGCAAUGGGCAACCGGCGAACGGGUGCGUAACACGUGAGCAACCUACCGAACUGUGGGGGAUAGCCGGCCUAACGGCCGAGUAAUACCGCAUACGCUCUCAGAGAGGCAUUUCUUUGAGAGGAAACCUACGGGACAGAUCGAGGGGCUCGCGGCCUAUCAGCUAGUUGGCGGGGUAACGGCUCACCAAGGCAACGACGGGUAGCUGGUCUGAGAGGAUGGCCAGCCACAUUGGGACUGAGAUACGGCCCAGACUCCUACGGGAGGCAGCAGUGGGGAAUUUUGGACAAUGGGGGCAACCCUGAUCCAGCCAUGCCGCGUGAGUGAAGAAGGCCUUCGGUUGUAAGUA